UAGCACGAAAUAAUUUACUAGUAAAGAUAUUCAAUUUAAAUAGUUUUAAUAAUCAUUAAAUUCCUACAACCAAUUUUUCAUGCAUAUCCAUUAUUAGCAGCAAGCGGCAAUAAAGUCUACUAAUUUACAUCCUCAAACAGCUAACACAAUUUUGUUGUGUGUGUGUGUGAGAGGAUAAGAAACUGCUUCACAUGAACGGCAUGAAGGAUAUGCCAACACUAUCAUUGCCUGCCACGGGAGUAUCAUCGGGUGAAGGCACAUCAAUACGCCCUCACCCGAUGAUGCACAUAACCUUCUUCUGGGCCAAAAACAGGGAAAUUUUGUUCCCCGGUUGGCCCGGGUCAAGUACUGGUCGCAAUCAUGACUCACAGGAAGUCAUCAGAUCGUUGAGCAAUGAAACAUAGAAGACAGGAUUUCAUCGAGACGUCCUACAUUGCCAAACCUGAUGUUCUAAGGCAAUCACUAGUCCAGAAACUCAAUGUGCAUCAACAUCAUCCUUAAAUCCAAAAAUUUAAAUGCUUCAAGGACAUUGACUAGAAUGUGAAAGUCACAUAGAAGAUUUGGUCAAAAGAAGCAUACAAGCUCUUCAUGUAACCUUGAGGUGAGGUUGUUACCAAACCCAAGUAACAACUUAACUGAUGAUUGUAAUUACCACAACACUGAUGACUAGAUGUCGAUGUAGGUGUUGAUGGAUAUAGAAUAUGAAGAUGUAUUUGAAGAAGAAUUACUAUCAAA